UUUCCGUAGGUGAACCUGCGGAAGGAUCAUUACAUUCAGUAGCCUAGCUACUUGUUUACACCCUUGUUUUUGCGUACCUAUUGUUUCCUCGGCGGGCUUGCUCGCCGGUUGGACAAAACUAUAACCUUUUUUAAAUCUUCAAUCAGCGUCUGAAUUAUACAUAAUAAUUACAACUUUCAACAACGGAUCUCUUGGUUCUGGCAUCGAUGAAGAACGCAGC
rnacentral:misc_RNA from 1 species